rnacentral:rRNA from 1 species
GACGAACGCUGGCGGCGUGCUUAACACAUGCAAGUCGAACGGAAAGGCCCUGCUUUUGUGGGGUGCUCGAGUGGCGAACGGGUGAGUAACACGUGAGUAACCUGCCCUUUACUUUGGGAUAACUUCAGGAAACUGGGGCUAAUACCGGUUAUGAGCUCCUGCUGCAUGGGGGGGGUUGGAAAGUUUCGGCGGUUGGGGAUGGACUCGCGGCUUAUCAGCUUGUUGGUGGGGUAGUGGCUUACCAAGGCGUUGACGGGUAGCCGGCCUGAGAGGGUGACCGGCGACAUUGGGCAUGAGAUACGGCCCAGACUCAUACGGGAGGCAGCAGUGGGGAAUAGUGCACAAAGGGAGGAAGCCUGAUGCAGCAACGCCGCGUGCGGGAUGACGGCCUUCGGGUUGUAGCCAGCUUUCGCCUGUGACGAAGCGUGAGUGACGGUAAUGGGUAAAGAAGCACCGGCUAACUACGUG